rnacentral:rRNA from 1 species
GACGAACGCUGGCGGCGUGCUUAACACACGCAAGUCGAACGGAAAGGCCCUGCUUGCAGGGUACUCGAGUGGCGAACGGGUGAGUAACACGUGGGUGAUCUGCCCUGCACUUCGGGAUAAGCCUGGGAAACUGGGUCUAUUACCGGAUAGGAGCCAUUUUGAGUGUGGUGGUUGGAAAGAUUUUUCGGUGUAGGAUGAGCUCGCGGCCUAUCAGCUUGUUGGUGGGGUAAUGGCCUACCAAGGCGGCGACGGGUAGCCGGCCUGAGAGGGUGGACGGCCACAUUGGGACUUAGGUACGGCCCCGGCCCCUACGGGGGGCAGCAGUGGGGAAUAUUGCACAAUGGGCGCAAGCCUGAUGCAGCGACGCCGCGUGGGGGAUGACGGCCUUCGGGUUGUAAACGCCUUUCGCUAGGGACGAAGCUUUUUGUGACGGUACCUAGAUAAGAAGCACCGGCUAACUACGUG